rnacentral:rRNA from 1 species
CCUACGGGUGGCAGCAGUAGGGAAUCUUGCUCAAUGGGGGAAACCCUGAAGCAGCAACGCCGCGUGGAGGAUGAAGGUUUUAGGAUUGUAAACCCCUUUUGUGAGAGAAGAUAAUGACGGUAUCUCACGAAUAAGCACCGGCUAACUCCGUGCCAGCAGCCGCGGUAAUACGGAGGGUGCAAGCGUUACUCGGAAUCACUGGGCGUAAAGUGUGCGCAGGCGGGUUUGUAAGUCAGAUGUGAAAUCCUGUGGCUUAACUAGAGAACUGCAUUUGAAACUAUGAGUCUAGAGUGUGGGAGAGGUAGGUGGAAUUCUUGGUGUAGGGGUGAAAUGCGUAGAUAUCAAGAGGAAUACUCAGUGCGAAGGCGACCUACUGGAACAUUACUGACGCUGAUGCACGAAAGCGUGGGGAGCAAACAGGAUUAGAUACCCCAGUAGUC